rnacentral:rRNA from 1 species
UACAGAGGUCCCGAGCGUUGUUCGGAUUUACUGGGCGUAAAGGGUGCGUAGGUGGUAGGGUAAGUUUGAUGUGAAAUCUCCGGGCUUAACCCGGAAAAUGCAUUGAAUACUAUCUUGCUAGAGAGUUGUAGGGGGGACUGGAAUUCUCGGUGUAGCAGUGAAAUGCGUAGAUAUCGAGAGGAACACCAGUGGCGAAGGCGAGUCCCUGGACAACUUCUGACACUGAGGCACGAAAGCUAGGGGAGCAAACAGGAUUAGAUACCCUGGUAGUCCUAGCCCUAAACGGUGCACAUUUGCUGUGAGCGGAUUCGACCCCGCUCGUGGCGAAGCUAACGCGUUAAAUGUGCCGCCUGGGAAGUACGGUCGCAAGAUUA